CUGUGUAACUACAUAGGCAUUGGAAACAAGAGUGGAGAACGUUAUUCUUUCACUCUGGAGAUUAAGUGCAAUAAAAUACUGGAUUGCUUUGAAUAUUGCCAGCUUUUCGUUCCUUUCUGACUUUUCUCAAGGUACAAAGGAGCAAGACAUGGCAAAAAAUGUACAUAAAAGCAGGAGGAAGCAGAUGAGUCACAAGAGGCCUAGAUUAUUUGCACCAGAAAUGAGCCCAGAAUGGGUUGAAGUGACACUGCUGUGAUAAAGCUGAAUUAGCCCUUGACAAAAUUGUUUCUGAGACCUUUUCUCUUUUCUCCACCCUUUACCUUUCCUGUCCGUACCCAUCCACUCCCAUUUUCCUUCCCCGGGGCCCCAAGAACCUCCUCCAGUCAGUGAAAAUCUUCACCAAACUAAAUUGGAAAAAAACCGAUGUUAGGUAUCUACCCAUCUAUUUCACAAAUUCAGUAUCUCUUUGUGGCCCCUUCCUCCACCCUUCUGUUAGAUCUCCGUUGUGAUUAGAGAAGGGGCUACUUAGCAAGUCUUAGUCGCUUAGGAAUUUCAAGGGCUUUCAUGUUAAUGACUGUAACAGGCAGCAGCUAAAGGGCCCCAGUGAUCCCCACCUCCUGGUGUUCUGCCUGUGUGUAACCCCCUCUCUUUGAGUGUGAGCUGCACCUAGUGCCUGGAUUCUAACAGAAUAUGGCAAAAGUGAUGAGACGUCACUUCUGAGAUUAGGUUACAAAAAGAUUGUGGCUUCUUUCUUAGGCUCUUGCACUCUUUCUGGCUUACUCUGAGAGAAGCUGCCUGCCAUAUUGGGUAUGUCCUAUGGAUAGGAACAGAAGGAGGCCUUCAGCCAACAGCUGGCGAAGAACUGCAUCAUGCCAAUGACAGGAGUAAGCUUCCAAACUGAACCUUCCGGGGUCAAGUGAACCCAGACCUAGCUGACAGCCUGCCUGCAAUUUCAUGACUGACUUUGAGUCCGAGCCAUCCAGCUAAGCUGUGCCCAGAUUCCUGACCCACAGAAACUGUGAGAUAAUAAACGUUCGUUCUUUUAAAAUUCUAAAUGGGUAACAAACGACACAAUGAAUUAUCUCAUGUAAAACAUAAAAAUGAAUUUCAGUUAAAAUGAUAAUCAAUCCGUUUAAUUAGUGAACCAAUUAGUUAACUUUGCCCCGUAUUGCAGACAUCAGAACUCACCAGUCAGACUUUCAGUGUGCGUGCUGCGCUGAAGAGCCGAAAGGGCACACUACCAUCUGUAGUGCGAUGACUGAAAGUUGCUGUCAAAUCCCCGCCCAGGCGUAACGGUGCUGCAGGGCAGGGGGCGUGGCUUGGCCUCGCUACUGGCUGCUCGCUGCGCCUGCGCCUGCUCCUGCGCCUGCGUGGUGUGGUGUCCUUCGGCUGGCUAGGCUCUAGUCGGGAGAGCGCAAAGCACGGAAGUCGGAGAUCGCUGUGGCUGUAGCGGAGGGGGGGCGGUUACCCCUCCACCUGACCACAAGAGGCCCAUAGGCAACAGCCAUGGUACCCAUCUAGAAUAGCCUGAUCCUGAGCCCCACUUCCACAAGCUUGGCAGCAGCUAUGUGGCUCAACCAGAUAGCACAGAAGAUCUGAAGACCCAAGGCCCAGCAAGCCAAGAAAUUAAUAGAAUCUUUGAAUAUCUGGUACCGGAAGAUAAUGAAACUAGUGAUUUGGAGCAGUAGAAGAACUCACGGGAUGAAGUUUCACAUUUGGCUGCUCCAGGCGGUUCAAGUCUGCUUUGCUUCAAAAUACAGACUCACUCUCACCUUCAUGACAAUGCUGUGCCAUGGGCAGAAUGCAGAGGAGGGAAGGACCAAAAGAAGAGUGGAGUUGUGAGAUGAAGGAGCCUGAGUUCUUGAAUGACUAUGUGGAGCAGAGCCCAUCACCACUAUUGCUCAUCAAUCUAUAUUAGGCUGUGAUUUACACAAACAAUAAGUUAUUUUGUCUUAAGAAGCUGAGAUGUUGAGUUGAUUAUUACAGCAUAAAACCCUACUCAGACUGAUAUGUGCAAUUUAAUUCUGUUGAAAGAUCACCAUCGCAGCAUUAUAUGUAAUAGCCAGGAAUUGAAAAUAAUCUAAAUAUCCACUAAUAAGUUAUAGAAUGAUAUAUAGAGCAUAAUGUCAUUUUUUAUAAAAAUUAUACAUGUAUAGUUUCACCAGCAGAGAUAGUUGAAAAGAUUUGUCAAUCUGCUAAUGAUAUCGCUAUAGAGUAUGGGGUAGUGGGAGAUAUACUCUUCUUGCUAAGUAUAUUUUUCAAUAAUUUCAAUGUUUUUCAGAAUUUCUUAUUUUUAUAAUAAAUAAAAAAUAAUACUCAAUUUAAAAAUCAUGCACAUAGUUUGGUGACUUUGGUUGUCUUGAAUACUUCCUGGAAUAGGAAAUAAUAAAAGCAAAUAGUUAAUAAUUCUUAUGUGUAGAAGUCAGUAAUUACUGGAGAACAGCAAUUGACACAAAACAAACAAAACAUGAUAUAUAUCAAAAGGACAGUAGUACUAAUCUUAAGUGGUGAAAUGAUAGAUAAAUUUUGUUAUUUUUGCUUUAUUCUUUUCUGUGUUUUCCAAAUAUUCUGUGUUGAGAAUAUAAUAAAUUUGUAAUUAAGUAGAAAGCUAAAGUAUAGAUGUUGCAAAUGCAAUUAAAAAAUGAGAAAGCUUUCAAAUAAUACUACUCUUCUCUCUUCAAAUCUCUCUUAAACCAGGAAUGCGUCCUCCAAAGAUAUAAAAGCAUUAGCUUGACCUUCAGCAGUUCUUGUUGUACAGUUAUAAUUUUCUGGCUCUCACACACUAAAAUGAUCUUUUAGCCCACAAUGAUAGAUCAGAACCUGAAAUAAACAAGACCUAGCUGGGUCUUGAUUCAGGAAGAAAUCAUUUGAAUUCAGGAACCCUCUUUGCUUAAUGAAUCACCAUAGUGUGGCUACUACAGAGUGAGCAGGUAGCAGACUAAUAAUUGCCACUACUUUGCUGGCCAUUGUGAGCUAAUUAGGCCUGAUCUGAAAGAGAGAAACCAGGUAAGACAAAUUACAAAUAUAACUUAAAAAGCAAACUCUCAUCUUCUGUGUUCAUCAGAGUGUGGCCAGUACAAAGGAUUAUUCACUGAAGCUAUUUAUCCCUUGAGUGAUUAUCUGAGAGAGCGAUGGAGCUACCUCCAAGACUGAUGCUACUUGAGAACCCAGAGCAAAGAGCCAUGGGAGCCAAAAGCUACACUGUGAGCUAUUUGCUCUCUCUCUUGAAGCAAGCACCAUUCAUGUGUGUUAAGCGCAAGUUGGUCACCAUGCUAAAGGUGAAGGUUCAAGUGUUUGAAGAACAACUUUCUGUGUCAUGACUUAGACAAGUUAAAAAAAAAAAGAGUUCCUCAGCAGAAAACAAAAGCAAGUGCAGAAAAUUCGAGUUUAUAAGGAAAAAAAAGAAUCAAAGUGAGUGUUUAGAAGGGAGUGAAGGAAGGACUGUGACAAGAAGGACAGGUUCUUCCCAGAGGGUGAGUCUGUGCUUCCCAGGUGCUGAAGGAAGAGGUGCCUAAAGAUGGAAGUAGAAGCCUUUUUAAAAUUGGUGUCCUCAGUCAGAAAACUGUGGUUCCUCUGGGUCAGUGAUUUUUUUCUCCAGUAGUUAAUUUGAAAAAUUUCAAACAGAAGGUAAAAGGAUUUUAUAGUAAACACUCAUAUUUCCAUCAUCUAGGCCCUACCAUUAACAUUUUACAAUGUUUGUUUUAUUGUGUGUGUGUGUGUGUGU